UGUCUGACCCGGAAGUUGAGCGGUGAAGAUGGCGCUGGGUCUUUGUGGUUCCCUCGUGAUUCUGGGCAGCGGCGGCUCCCGCAUCGCGGGCUUCAGUCUCGGGGAGAGCGGGGAGCCCUUUAUAUUUGACUGUCCCAAAGAAACACGAAGUCAGGCUGGGCCAUCUGAUGAGGAGAGAAAUGGGGUUGUGGCUUUUGCCUUUUCUCCCUCUGGGACCUACGUUGCUGUAUCUAUGGAUAGUAAACAGUUGCUGCUGUUUCGUACCAGACCGUGGGAGUGUCUCAGUGUCCGCACAGCACUGCGUCGAUCCACAUCACUGACCAUCACAGGAGCAGAGGACCGCAUCCUACUUGCUGAUAAAUCAGGCGAUGUGUACAGUUUCUCCAUCAGCCAUCCCGAUAGUCCAGGGCAACUCCAGCUCGGGCACCUUUCCAUGCUGCUGGCUGUGCUGUUUGAUACAACUGAAUAACAUGCUAGACAGUUUGAGAUGGCAGUGAAGAGUCUCCCACAUUGCUGUGGGUCUGGAGUCACAUGUAGGCCAGACCAGAUUUUUAUUGAAUUCAAAUUUCACCGUAGUGGGAUUUGAAACCAGAGUAUUACCGGAGUCUCUGGGUUACUGGUUCAGCGACAAUACCACAAGGCCAUCACGUUCCCCUGUCAUUAACACACGGAAUGCAGCUCUUCAGCAAGAUGGCCCACCUUCAGA